UACGUAGGGGCCUAGCGUUGUCCGGAAUUAUUGGGCGUAAAGAGCUCGUAGGCGGUUCGGCAAGUCGGAUGUGAAAUCUCCACGCUUAACGUGGAGGGGCCAUUCGAAACUGCCGUGACUCGAGUCCGGUAGGGGAGUGCGGAAUUCCCGGUGUAGCGGUGAAAUGCGCAGAUAUCGGGAGGAACACCAGUGGCGAAGGCGGCACUCUGGGCCGGAACUGACGCUGAGGAGCGAAAGCGUGGGGAGCGAACAGG
rnacentral:rRNA from 1 species